rnacentral:rRNA from 1 species
AUUGAACGCUGGCGGCAUGCCUUACACAUGCAAGUCGAACGGCAGCACGGGAGCAAUCCUGGUGGCGAGUGGCGAACGGGUGAGUAAUAUAUCGGAACGUGCCCAGUCGUGGGGGAUAACGCAGCGAAAGCUGUGCUAAUACCGCAUACGAUCUAUGGAUGAAAGCGGGGGAUCGCAAGACCUCGCGCGAUUGGAGCGGCCGAUAUCAGCUUAGCUAGUUGGUGGGGUAAAGGCCCACCAAGGCGACGAUCUGUAGCUGGUCUGAGAGGACGACCGGACACACUGGAACUGAGACACGGUCCAGAAUCCUACGGGAGGCAGCAGUGGGGAAUUUUGGACAAUGGGCGCAAGCCUGAUCCAGCAAUGCCGCGUGCAGGAUGAAGGCCUUCGGGUUGUAAACUGCUUUUGUACGGAACGAAACGGUCCUUUCUAAUACAGGGGGCUAAUGACGGUACCGUAAGAAUAAGCACCGGCUAACUACGUGCCAGCCGCCGCGGUAACAC